AGCGGAUUGGAGCAGCGGUAGCUCGGCAGGCUCAUAACCUGUAGGUCACGGGUUCGAAUCCCGUAUCCGCAACCA
rnacentral:tRNA from 1 species